UGUCCUACAUUUGUUGAUUCAAUGCUAAACAUAUGAAAAAUUUAUUGAAAAUCCUAAGCCUUUCCCAUUGAACUCUCAUAUUUGGCAACCCGGUACUUGAUAUAUAGAGGAUUAUUGCAUGCAGUGUUCAAACAUCUAUCAAAGCUUUCUCCCCAGAAAACCUUUAUAGGUUUCUUUUGAUAUCGAACUGUAAAAUUAAAAGAAAUUAGUAACACUUAAUAUUAAUGAUGCACUUAUACAAAAUGGAAAUAAAACGACAACUACAAAAAGCCCAAAUGAAGUUACUUAACAAAAUUAUUUUCACUUUAUAUUUUGGGUAAACAGAGCUUAAAUUUAUCUUCCAAAAUGACACAAGUUCCAAAAUAUUAAUGUAGAUAAACAAGAAGAC
rnacentral:lncRNA from 1 species